AGCGUAGACGGCAUGGCAAGUCUGAAGUGAAAGCCCGGGGCUCAACCCCGGGACUGCUUUGGAAACUGUCAGGCUAGAGUGCUGGAGAGGUAAGUGGAAUUCCUAGUGUAGCGGUGAAAUGCGUAGAUAUUAGGAGGAACACCAGUGGCGAAGGCGGCUUACUGGACGGUAACUGACGUUGAGGCUCGAAAGCGUGGGGAGCAAAC
rnacentral:rRNA from 1 species